UUGGUGUGCACCUUCAGGUACCUGCAGAGUUGAUUCCCUGGAACUGGGAUUACAGGUGUUUGUGAGCUGCAUUGUGGGUGCUGGGAACCAAACCUGGGUCCUCCAGAAGAGCUGCAAGUGCUCUUAACCUCUAAGCUAUCUCUCUGGGUCCUCGUUUUAAUGUUUUGAGCAGAGCUGCAGACUAUGUGAUAAGUUAGUUAUUCAAAAUUGAAGAGGCCACAUUUGGUCUCUUAGAAUCCUUGCAUUGGAGAGGCUGAGACUCAGGCAGGAUGGUGUCAGGCUUGACGCCACAUGGACCAUAUAGCAAAUCCCUGCCCUAGACUUAACAACCAAAAAUGAGUGAAGUAAACCAAAUUAUUUUAGGGAGUUUAAAAAAAAGAAUAGUAUUGAUGCUGCAGUUGGUUCCAGAACUUUCUGUCUAUGCAACAGUUUCCUUAUCUGCACAGGGAAGUGGAUCAUUCUACCUGCGUCAAGAGGAAGGUGGAGAUAUGAAAUGAGAACGUGCAUCUAACCUCCAGCAACAUAACCCAGCGCCUGCGUGCUUUCAGUAAAUGCAUCUGUUUAUCAUUCUUCUUCUGUGCUGGGCAUGGUGCUGUAAGCCUGGCGCUUGGGAGGACAGGAGGAUCUGGAGUUCAAGAGUGUUCUCAGCUACACAGACAGGGGGACGGAUUUCCUGCAUGAGAGACAAGCACUCUACCAGCUGAGCCACACCCCCAGCCCCUAAUUGCUUCCUCAGCAGGCUUUCUUUUCCAAAACCUGUCCCCUAUUAUGCAGUGCAAACGAGAACAGAUGGGGAAAAGUUAUGUUGGAAAGGGCUUUGGAGGGCCACAGAGAAGAGAAAUGUGACUACCCAAUGUGUCACACACCAACUUGCAGCUGCCACCAGCCCUUCCCCACACGAGCUGCGUAUGGAACCAGCCCGCGGAGCUCAGAAGGAGCAGGCGUACUGCAGGAAGGGAGCGCAAUUAGAGAACAUUCGCUGCGCUUGUGCUGCCUUGAAAAUAUGAAUAAAGAGCGGUGCAGCAGCUCAGCCAACAAAAGAGAAGUAAAUCCCCAGGCUAGCCUGGAAAACACUUAGCCGCGCCCCAAGCUAUCCCAAAUGCGAACCGGUAAUUGGCGCUGUCUAUAGCACAGAAACGACUCGGUGCGUCUCGCCGCCGCCACUCAGGUCUCUGUGUCUAGGGUUUGUUCUCCAAAGGGCAUACUGGCUCAAACGCAUGACGUGGCCUUCCAAUAACCAUUUUUCUGUAUUCACGGAGUGCUUACAGAGUUCCCCAAAUAUUUCAAGCCCUGCCAGGCACAAGCUGAAUGGCCUCAGGCCGGUCACCCAACUUCUCUAAGCUGGGGAUUCCCCAAAUAUAAAGCAGAGGUUGCUUGCCUUCUUACAGGCUUUGGGAUAUUGUAUGCGAAUAACUGACACGUAUGUUGUUCAUUUUAGGACAACUGUUAUUACUAUGAUGAUCGGAAAGCACUGAAAUGUUCUCUUUUCUUAAUCCAAUGUAAGAAGCUAAGAAUAUAUUCUUAGCCAUAUGUGUACAUAUACAUAUAUGUAUAUGCAUGGAUGUAUAUAUUCAUGGCUCAGAAUCCCUAAGAAUUUAUGCUAUGAGUAAUUACAAGGUUAGCAUAGUUUAAGAUACUAAAGUGUCUCUUUAUGGGGAAGCACACAUUUAACAUGUAUGAUCUCUGGCUCAAUCCACAGCAACCCCGACCCCUCCCCCCCCAAAAAAAAAUAGAGAAAAGGCUCAUGUGGUUUAAAUUAUUUGAUUCAAAUAGUGAGUGAUGAAGGCCACAGAGAUGGCAUCGCUGAAGAAAUCCUAAUGUUGCAAACAGUUGAGCAAUUGACUCCAGCAGGAACCUCCUUCGCACCUCUCAGGGUAGAAUGAGUGUGCAAAUAUUUGGUAUCACUUUGAUAAAGAGAUGAUUUCUUUCUUUCUUUCUUUUUUCUUUAAGAAGCGUUUAAAAUGCAGUUAGUUACCCAAGCCUGCCGCGCAGAGUAUAUUUUCAGCAUAUCCAGAGUAGAGCUGGGAUCCACAGUUAAGCUAAAAAUGAUUUGGCCAGCAAGAUGGCUAAGCCGGUAAAAAGUGCCUGCCACCAAGCCUAAAGACCUGAGUUCAAUCCCCAGAGCCCCCUGGGUUGAUAGAGAGAAUUGGCUUCUGGGAGUUGCUUUCUACACAUAUGCACACAUGCCCCCCCCACAAAUAAAUAAAUAAAUAAAUAAGUGUAAUUUUAACUGAUUAAAAUGACUGUUGAGGGAUGACUAAAUGGCUUAGCAGGCAAAGGUGCUUGCUUAACAGGCACGGUGACCAGAGUUCAACCCCCAGAGCCAUGUAAAGGUGGCAGGUGGCUCUUCCAUCCUCUACAACCUCUGUUCUCUUGUUUUGUUAGGGCGGGACUGUAAGCAGUCUCCUGGUCCACAGGAGACAUCAGCUUCACUAUACUUUGUCCCAAGGAGAUAGCCAUGCAUCCUGCUAUGUCCAGCAUGGCUAUUAAUAAUAUUUCUUUCUCCCCGCAAAUGCCCCAGCAUGGCUAGUAAGCUGCGUCAAUUUUUUAGGCCUAGAGGACACUUGAUUAGCAUGCACAGCCAUGAAUGAGGAUAUGCAGAAAAUCUAAGAUGUGCUGUGUUAGUGCAGGGAAGGUAAGUCCAAACACCACGGGCAACAGCCAGAGGUCACCUUGGCCUCAAGUAACAUAAGAAGGAUCAGAGAAAAGUAUACUCUUUCUGUGUAUUCCAUAAAUUGAAAUAAAAAUUCCAUGCCCAUGGAAACCCUGGGAAAUAAAGAUGGGUUAAGGCCCGAUCUCUCACUCAACACUAACAACAAUAAAAGGCAUAAUCCUGGUACUUACAUGACCAUUUUCCUCAUUUCUGCUACUGUCUGUUGUCUUGGGCAAGCGAUUUCAAAUCUCUGAAUCUCAUCAUACUCACAGGUGAGUAAGGCGACUUGGUAGUUCACAACUGUAAUCUCUGUGACUAAGAGACUAAGGCAGGAAGAUCAUAGGUUCAGGGCCAACCCGAGUUAUAUAGCAAACUCUUGUCUCAUAGCAAAGCCUUGUCUCAAAACCAAGUUAGUGCAGCUUCUUUAAGUCAUGGGAAUUGAUAUAUGAAUAUAAAGUGAU